rnacentral:lncRNA from 1 species
UGGGAAGAGUGAAAGAGUGGCCUCACAGAGCUCACGACACGCUAUUUCAGAUUUUUUCUUUUCUCUUUUCUAUUUUUAAGACAGGUCUCGCUACAUUGCCCAAGCUGGUCUCAAACUCCUGGGCUCGUGAUCCUCCUGCCUUGGCCUCCCAAAGUGCUGGGAUUAUAGAUGUGAGCCACAGCGCCUGACCAGUUCCCAAUUUCUGAGGUCAUCAAGCCCUCCUUGCAUUUCGUGGCCUACCUUCUGUGCAGGGACCUCUGCUUGGCAGGCUGGCUUGUCUAUGCCCCCAGACGGAGCUGCUGGAAUUACAAGCAGGGCAGGAGACUUCUGCAAGGCGGGGUUGACCUGCUCUCCAAGGCAGUGCCCGUGGGGUGGGCUUAUGAGCUGACUUGCAGAACAGCUGUCCCAGUGAGGCCCCUGGGACUCAUGUGUCUGUCCCCUGGGGCUGCACAUUGCUUGAGUGGCCUGUGAGGUGGCUUGGGAUGGAUUUAGCAGUGGCCACACUGCACUGCUCUGCGCCUCACCACGGCAGCAGGAUGGAACGAGGAGGGAGUGACGAGGGCUCACACCAGCCUCCAGCGGCCAGACAACUUGAUGGUGGUUCCAGGGCCUGUCCAGUCUCUCCAUGGGCACCGGGAGAAUGAGUCUCUCCUUACUUACUCCCAGGCUCCUGCCCCUCCCGCAUCCCGACACCAUGGCUUGUUUUUUCUGGGCUGGCCCAGCCUUUCCCUAGGGUCCUAUCACCUUUGUCCCCUCCACACCCCUUUCUGUGUUUCUAGGAAAAUCGGAGCCUCUCCUCCAUCCUUCUCCUACUCUCCUAGGCAGGGGGAGAGAAGUGACCAGUGGACCCAGCUGGGUACAGGAUGGUAUCUGAAAACUCUUGAGACGUGGGGCAAGAGUUACAGCCGAUCCCUGCCCUCUCCUCAGAAAGAAGGCAAAGGAAAGAGAAGACUCCGGAAUCCCCUCCCUCAGCAAGGAAGUGGGUGCACUUUCCCGGGAGUCCGGCAAGGGCCUCUUCUCUUUCACGCUCUGAGAUUCCAAGGGUAGCAGCCCCCUUUGAGGUGCCUACAGCCUGCCGGUGCGUGGAGGAACUGGCAGACAAGAGGCCAACACCCACAAACUACCAAUGAUUCCAAGGGUCUGAUGCAAGACCUCAGCCACCCUGGAGAUGACUCAGUGGUCAAGGUGAGCUGAAGGGUGGCCUCUCCUCCAAAGGGUACCUCUUCUCACACACAAGCCUGGGAGACUGGUCGUCUAGGGCUCAUAGACCAGUGUGGGCAUCAGAGACCCAGGUUCCUUCUAUUCAUCUGUUCCCCUUCCUAGCACGUGGCCUUUAUCCCAAGGUCUCCUUGUGGCCCAGAAAGACAGCUGGGCCUCCAGUCAUGACGUCAGGCUGGAAGGGGAAAAGUGGAGGAGCAAAGAGGGUCUAGCUCCUGCUUCUCAAGGAGUCUGCCCAGAAGUCCCACACGCAUUUGCUCACAUCCCAAUGGCCAGACUUUAGUGCACUGACCACACCUGGCUGCAGGAGAGGCGGGAAAUGUAGGGUGCUUUUUGUUUUCUUUAAGCUGAGCCCUUUGUCCAGGACUGUAGUGAGACACAAGGGAGAAAGGAGUGUUGGAAGGCAAUCAGGCACCUCGAUCCCAGGACAUUAGUGGUGACACCACGUAAAUAAGAUCAAGGCCUGCCCCUGCUUAACACUCUCCUGUCGCCUGCAGCCCCAGCCCCUGCACCAUGUUCCCACAGCCCUGAUCGAUCCAGGCCCUGCCCCACCCCUUCCUGACUCAUCUCCUCCUCCCUCUCCACUCAACACGUGUUGAGCUCAUUCCCCACGGCCCAGGGCCUUUGCACUUGCUGCCCCCCUGCCUCCAAUACAUUGCCCCAAGAUAUUUGCACAACUCACUCAUCUCAUCAUGUAGGCUCCGGCUUACAUGCCCCUCUCUAGAGGGCCUGCCCCACACUCCCUACCACAGUCACUCUCAGCCCCAUUACCUGUCUUCCAGAGCACCCAGAACACUCUGGAAUUUGCUCCUGUGUCCUGUGUUUAUGCUCUAUACGAGAGGGAAGACUGUCACUUUCGCCCGAAGCUCAGUGGCACAGCUGGAGAGGCUGCCCACAUGCAGGUGCAGAUGGAAGAGAAUCCUUCGCUUGUGUUUCCUCCUGCACAGCGGUCUGUGGGGGCCGGUAUGAGAAGGCUCUUGCCAGAGGCCUAGGUUCAGUCAGCCAUUCACGCAUUUUUGUUUGUUUGUUUGCUUUUAACUGAGACAGAGUCUUACUCUGUCAUCCAGGCUGGAGUGCAGUGGUGUGAUCUUGGCUCGCUGCAACCUCUGCUGCCUGGGUGCAGGCUAUUCUCGUGCCUCAGCCUCCCAAGUAGCUGGGAUUACAAGUGCUCACCUCCACGCCUGGCUAAUUUUUGUAUUUUUAGUAGAGGCAGGGUUUCACCAUGUUGGCCAGGCUGGUUUCGAACUCCUGAUCUCAAGUGGUCCACCCACCUUGGCCUCCCAAAGUGCUGGGAUUACAGGCAUGAGCCACCACGCCCGGCCUAGCCAUUUGUGCUAGGAAUGUUGUUUCUCCUCCCUCAGCCUCACUGUGGGACUUGGCAGUAGAAGGGUGGCUCCUUCGACUUCCGCCACGCCUGUCUGUCCACUUCAGAGGGAUGGGGUUUACGGACAGGGAGCCCUGCACUGGUGCUUGGCCACAAAUGUUCACACCACCUCAAGUCUAUGCCUGGGACUCGGUAGAUGCCUGGAGGGCUCGUCACCAUCACCCGGAUCCCUGCUCUCUCCCUGUGGCUGGGCUUCCUGUGUCUAUGGGCAUCUUUUUCUUGCUGUGCUCCCUUGUUAUGGAGCACAGCCUCAAGUAGCUUCCCGCGAAAGAAGGGAAGAGGCCUGAGGAAGACUUGCUUCUCAUUUAAGAAAUAGUUCAUCUGGGUAUAGAAUUGAGUUUGGAGAUAAUUUUCCUUCAGAAUUUUGAAAGCAUUACUUCUUGUCCUCUAGUUUCUCCAGAAACUCGCAGAAGCUUCUUUUCGUCCCUAGGCCUUUGGCGUUCGGCAGCAAUGUACUUUCGUGGGGGUGUUUUCAACCGCUGUGGUGAGCAACUGCGAAUCUUUUUAAUCCGCAAACUGGUGUCCCUCGUACCUGAGAGAUGUUCUUGAGUUAUUUCGUUUAGGAAUUCUCUCCCUCUGCUUUCCCUUCCUCGACUCCGGUUAUUCCUUGGUUGAAUCUCUUUAACUGAUCUUUGAUCUCCUCUUUUUCUUUGCUUUGUCUUUUUGCUGUUUUCUAGGAGGCUUCCUCCCUUUUGCCUUCUAAUCCAUCCUUUCGUUUCUUCUUCGUUUUAAAAAAUCACUCUUUUGUGCUUUUAAUUUCCAAGAACUCUCCUUUAACUCUGUCUCUGACCGUUUCUUUUGUUAGCACUUCAUGGAUGUAAUAUCUCUUAUCUCUCUGAGGUUGUUAAUAUACUGUGUAAAGGUUUUCUUCAGAGAUAAACUGAUAACCUUGCACCGUCUCUUUUUCACACUAUUGUUCUCUCUCUCUCUCUCUCUCUCUCUCUCUCUCUCUUUGAGAUGGAGUCUUGCUCUGUUGCCCAGGCUGGAGGGCAAUGGCACAAUCUCGGCUCACUGCAAGCCUCCACUUCCUGGGUUCAAGUGAUUCUCCUGCCUCAGCCUCCCAAGUAGCUGGGAUUACAGAUGCCCACCACCAUGCCCGGCUAAUGUUUGUAUUUUUAGUAGAGAUGGGGCUUCACCAUGUUGGCCAGGCUGGUCUCGAACUCCUGACCUCAAGUGAUCCACCCACCUCGGCCUCCCAAAGUGUUCGGAUUACAGGUGUGAAUCACUGUGUGUGGCCUUUUUUUUUCUUUCGUCUGCUUUGUUUCCUCUAUUCCACAAUGAGCUGUCCCUCAGCUGUCUUCUGAUCUGUGACUCAUCGGAUCAUAAUUAAGUACCAAAAUGCAGAUUGGAAGCUCCCAGAUCUUGGUGGGUCACUUGACGAAACUACCAGUGUUUGUAAGUUGAGGUCUUGCAUUUGGGCUGGCCGGAUCCCUGGGAAAGAUUCCAUCUCCUGCCUGGUGAAAAGCUCUGGCCGAUUGGCUUCUGGCACUGAUUAAGGGAAGGAAGCUGGGCAGGCGAGUCCCCGGAUUCUGUAGCCCCCGUUUUUAGUACAGCAGCUCUUAGCUGUGGUUUGCCUCUCCCAGUCCAGUGCAUAAACCGUGGACGUUUGCUAGGGGUUGGGGAGAGGAUAGGAGUAGUGAUCUAACAGCUUGGAGGGAGGUAGGGGAUCCAGAGUCUGCAAGUUUUCAAAAGCUUUUGCUCCACUCUUUCUUGUUUUAACUCCCAUUAAUCUCCAUUUCCAGGUGUUCCUGCAGCUGUAAGUUCCUGAGGCUCUGAGGGCUCUGAGGUGUGAAUAGAGUCGGAUCUCUUCUAGAGAAUCGAAUAGCCUAAGGUCCCGUCUAACCGAGCCCUCUCUGUCAGGUAUCACUCGUCCCUCUGUUCCCAGCUUCCAGUAUUGUGUUGCUGUCAUCUUCUCCUGACAUCUUUCUUAUCAAGUUGAUGUCUUUUAAAAAAUGAUUUGCUGUCCAGAUGCAGUGGUUCAUGCCUGUAAUCCCAACAUUUUGGGAGGCUGAGGUGGGAGGAUCACUUGAGGCCAGGAGUUUGAGAUCGGUCUGGGUGACAUAGUGAAAUUCCAUUUCCACAAAAUAUAAAACAAGCAGCGGGGCAUGGUGGUGCACUCCUGGAGUCCCAGCUACUUGGAAGGCUGAGGUGGGAGGAUCAAUGGAACCCAGGAGGUGAAGACUGUGGAACUAUGACUGCACCUCUAAAUGCCAGCCUGAACUACGAAGCAAGACCGUGUCGCUAAAAAAUAAAAAUAAAAUUUAAAAAUUUAUUUGCUGUAGUUUUAGUGGGUGCUGGGCAGGAGUGAAAUUAGGUAUGUGUGUCCUGUCUGCCAUCAUAUCUCACCCUCCACAGCUUACAAAGGAGGUGAUGGGGGUAAGAGUUAGGGCUUCCAAUAGAGAUGAACAGGCGCAGAACAUCUGACCCCCCCUCCUGUGUAGGGGCAAUCCUCACUUUAUGAGGCUGAGCCCACCACCCCUGUAGAAACUGACAGUGCCACAUGCAGACCUCCCUGUCAGUACUAGCAGCUAGGCUGGGAGUCUAUGCCCAGGCCCAGUUAGUAAGACGCUCCUACCCCAGCCAGGGGCGGUGGCUCACGCCUUUCAUCCCAGCACUUUGAGAGGCUGAGGCGGGUAGAUUACAAGGUCAGGAGUGUGAGCACCUGUAACAGUCCCAGCUACUCAGGAGGCGGAGGCAGGAGAAUCGCUUGAACCUGGGCGACGGAGGUUGCCGUGAGCUGAGAUCGCGUCAUUGCACUCCAGCCUGGGCAACAAGAGCGAAACUCCAUCUCAAAAAAAAAAAAAAAAAAAAGAUGCUCCCACCCCAGAUCUGGUUAGGAGCUAGUAAGCAAAGAAGCAGGAGUCGGGGAGGACCUUUGGGGCAGGGCCCAUGCUGCAUGCAAGCUGAGAAGAUGGGCACAGCCAGGGUGCUGGCAGCCUUGUUCCCACCAGCUGGGUUCUUCAAAGGAUUUGGAACAUGAUCAACCAAGAGCCCUAAGUAAUUC